UUUUGGACAAUGGACGAAAGUCUGAUCCAGCCAUUCCGCGUGCAGGACGAAGGCCUUCGGGUUGUAAACUGCUUUUGUACAGAACGAAAAGGUUUCUAUUAAUACUAGGAGCCCAUGACGGUACUGUAAGAAUAAGCACCGGCUAACUACGUGCCAGCAGCCGCGGUAAUACGUAGGGUGCAAGCGUUAAUCGGAAUUACUGGGCGUAAAGCGUGCGCAGGCGGUUAUGUAAGACAGAUGUGAAAUCCCCGGGCUCAACCUGGGAACUGCAUUUGUGACUGCAUAGCUGGAGUGCGGCAGAGGGGGAUGGAAUUCCGCGUGUAGCAGUGAAAUGCGUAGAUAUGCGGAGGAACACCGAUGGCGAAGGCAAUCCCCUGGGCCUGCACUGACGCUCAUGCACGAA
rnacentral:rRNA from 1 species